rnacentral:rRNA from 1 species
AUUGAACGCUGGCGGCAGGCCUAACACAUGCAAGUCGAGCGGAUGACGGGAGCUUGCUCCUUGAUUCAGCGGCGGACGGGUGAGUAAUGCCUAGGAAUCUGCCUGGUAGUGGGGGACAACGUUUCGAAAGGAACGCUAAUACCGCAUACGUCCUACGGGAGAAAGCAGGGGACCUUCGGGCCUUGCGCUAUCAGAUGAGCCUAGGUCGGAUUGGCUAGUUGGUGGGGUAAUGGCUCACCAAGGCGACGAUCCGUAACUGGUCUGAGAGGAUGAUCAUUCACACUGGACAUGAGACACGGUCCAGCCUCCUACGGUAGGCAGCAGUGGGGAAUAUUGGACAAUGGGCGAAAGCCUGAUCCAGCCAUGCCGCGUGUGUGAAGAAGGUCUUCGGAUUGUAAAGCACUUUAAGUUGGGAGGAAGGGCAGUAAGUUAAUACCUUGCUGUUUUGACGUUACCGACAGAAUAAGCACCGGCUAACUCUGUGCCAGCCGCCGCAGUAA